AAGCAUGUGGAAUUUCCAAAACAACCAGGAGGUUGGCUUAGAAGCAGCCAUCCUUUAAAGAAAGCGUAACAGCUCACUGGUCUAAAUAAGAGAUUCUGCGGCGAAGAUGUAACGGGGCUAAAGUGAUGCACCGAAGCUUAGGGUUCGAUCUUUUGAUCGAGCGGUAGCGGAGCGUUCCGUAAGCUGAUGAAGCGGGAGGGUAACCGACCGUGGAGGUAUCGGAAGUGCGAAUGCAGACAUGAGUAGCGA
rnacentral:rRNA from 14 species